CCAGUUUUAUAGCAAACUUCAAUUCCUUGCUAAAGUAAACCCCUACAAAGGUACCAGUCGGGAAGAUCAGACUAGACCUUUUCGAAGUCGGAAGCAGGUCAGAAUUCUAGCUUCCUCUAUUUAGUUAGGAAAGCCAGAAGUCAUGAUAUUUAGUUAACACGACCUUAGGCCUAACUGUCAGUCUUCAAGAAGCAAGUAGAUAAUCUCCCAUCUCUUGAUCUGGGGGAACAUAGUCAGGAAAGAGAAGCCCAUUCCUAAUCCCUGCUUCUAAAGCCCGUAUCUUGCUCAAAAAAGUUUUUUCAAGACCGGAGUCAAGGCAGUUUGAACCCCAGCUAGUAUUGAGAUUGAGAGCCGUAAAGAGUCCGGAGAUCAGUCAUUCGACUUAGGAAUCCCGUCCAACUUCAGAUAAGGUAAGAUAAGGUAGGAAAGCUACAAACCAGUCUUAAUUCCUGCAGACUAAGAUUCAGUUUCAAGUCCCAAGGGAUUCAAUCCAAACACUCAUAGAUUCUAUGCCCGCCUCUGCUCUGAUGUUCCAACCCUGAAGUCACUUCCUUUAGAGUUGAGUUCAAAGUUACAGCCUUUAGUAGAUAAGCCGGAGUUAACUCAUGAUAACUCUUAGCCCUGACUUCCGAUGAAUGAGAAGUCUAGUUAGGCAGUGGAAACCCUGGGAAGUCAGGAAGUUCAAGUUAGAGGGCAUAUUCAUAUGAAAUAGCAUAUGAUGAGAUUGGUCAAUCUUUCUCAUUGCUUGACUAAAGAAUGCAUUUUAUGGCUCUAGCACUCCCGUCAUGAGACGUAGAAGCAAAAAAAAGAAAAAGCCUAGGCUGAUCAUCCAAACACCCAUUGAUUCAGAUCCUUAUCGGCUAGAAUAAAGGCCUUAAAAUCUUCUCAUAUUUAGAAUCUGGUAACUGACUGAGAAUUGAUAGUCUUCUAAGGAAGUCUAAGUGACAGAGGAUCUAGUAAGGAAAGGAACCUACCUUUCUCGUUUGUGACCCAUGCCUAUGGGUCACUUAACUCCUAGAGCAUAAAGGCAGCAAGUGAAGUUAGAAUCUUUCUCUAUUGUUGCAUUCCCUUCCGGGAUACAGAGCAGAAUCUAUUGAUACAAGAAAUUCCUUAGAAAGAGCUGCCCGAGAUCACUACAUCUAUCUCUUGAACUCAGCUCCUAUUCACAUCCUUCCCGUGGGAACGACUAUAGAGGACAGCCCCAGAGAACUCAAUCUAGCUAUUGUUGAGCUCAUCCCGCCUAUUCUAUUCCUAGGUCCUGCGGAGGACCUCCGAGUCCCCAUUGAUUCUACUCCAAUUCCAGUAUCUGGCUGUUCUUCAUCUUACCCGGGAGGAAGUCGAGGACAGAGUUGCAGCUUUAGAUGAAAGAUUGAUCUUUCUAUUCGAAUACAAGGCCCUACGCCUUAUGGCUUGAGGAGAUUAAUAUAGUUGAGCUGCAAGCAUCCUGAGAUUUCACUGCUAGGAAGUUUUAAGCAAACAUCUCAUUUUUCGUUCCUGGCCUAGCUGAAGGAGGGUAAAUUAGGCAUUGAUUCGAACUUCAAUACUGGGCGCCUCUAUGAACCCUAGGAAGUUACUGAGUUGGUUGCCCUUAGUCUUGUUCAAGUUAGAGGAUUUCAACACUGUUGAAAUGACGUCUAUAGAGAUGAAAAGAUUGAAAGCUCGAAAUCGGUUACGCAACAGGCUAAGCCAGAAAGGAAGAGAGAUUGCUAUUGUUGUUAGCAGUUACAGCAGAGACAGAGAUAAAAGCGUAAGAAGCCCAAGAACCUUUUGGCCGCCUUUAGGUCUUCUUACCCGGAUCAAAUUGAACUUCGAACAAUCGUAACUUUAAAGAGAAAGAAUCUGACUUCAAUCCUAUUGGCUUUCAACUCCCAAUUAUACCUAGGAAUGAAAUCAAUUAGACUUCCACGGAAGUCAGACUGAGGAAAUAGUUGCAGCUCUUUCUCUUGAGUUAGAGGGAGAAAUCUCAAAUUCUUACUUUCUCUUUGCUAAGGUGCGCAGCCUAAGCAUCAAUCUCAAAUGAUUGGCUUUCGACUCCUAUUUCCAGGAUUGAGUAAGAUUGACUUCGAUUUCAUUCGUUUCAGUAUUUCAGUAGAGCCUGUAAUCAGUAUAUUUUGUUUAGGAUUGACUGAUUUUUAGUCUUUACCAGGAUGGAAUUAAAGUCUUUAUUGAAUUUCAUCAUUUCCUUUAGAAUGAAGUUAAGGAUUGAAUUCCUUUAAGUCAGAAUUGAAGUAUAGCCUUAAGCAAUAAAUGAAGUCAAGUAAUUUCUUACCGAUUUUCACUCUCUUGCUGCGCUCCUCAGUUUUCAGUCGGAGAUGCGUAAUCUGAGCUAAAUGCCUAUGUUUGCUGAGAUUCCUCGCCCUUCACUUUUAAGGCUAUGCCAUCCUAAGGUGCUGCUAAAUGGAUGGAUCUUAUCAACGUCCAUGAAUGAUAAAUCAUAGAUCGAACCGCCGAAUCGGAAAAAUUGGGUGCUAUCAUAAAGCUUUGUAUCGGCUAAGUUCACGAGUUGGAGAUAAGCGGACUCGAACCGCUGACAUCCGCCGCAGGGUAAACCACCGCCUCUCAGGUCCCCCGACUGAUUCUACCAUGAAGUAGACCUAUAAGGAGAAAAGGAAGUGUUGUCCCUCCUAAUUAUGAUUCAAUAUUUAUCUUGAUCUAUUCUAGAUGUCUUUUUUACAUUAAUUGCAUUAGCUGGAGCUUGCACCGAAUUGCUUACCCGCGGAACUCAUUUAACCCGACCCUUCAUAAGUACCAAUGCCCCUUCCCCUUUCACCUCUAGGAAAAACUUCUGGGAUGAUCCCUUCUCAAAGAGGUAUCCUUUCAAUAGGAGCACAGUGUACCCCAGUUUUAUAGCAAACUUCAAUUCCUUGCUAAAGUAAACCCCUACAAAGGUACCACUUGGGAAGAUCAAACUAGACCUUUUCAAAGUCAGAAGCAGGUCAGAAUUUUAGCUUCCUUUAUUUAGUUAGGAAAGCCAGAAGUCAUGAUAUUUAGUUAACACGACCUUAGGCCUAACUGUCAGUCUUCAAGAAGCAAGUAGUUAAUCUCUCAUCUCUUGAUCUGGGGGAACAUACUCAGGAAAGAGAAGCCCAUUCCUAAUCCCUGCUUCUAAAGCUCGUAUCUUGCUCAAAAAAGUUUUUCAAGACCGGAGUCAAGGCAAUUUGAACCCCAGCUAAUAUUGAGAUUGAGAGCCGUAAAGAGUCCAGAGAUUAGUCAUUCGACUUAGGAAUCCCAUCCAACUUUAGAUAAGGUAGGAAAGCUACAAACUAGUCUUAAUUCCUGCAGACUAAGUUUUAUUUUCAAGUCCCAAGGGAUUCAAUUCAAACACUCAUAGAUUCUAUGCCCACCUCUGCUCCGAUGUUCCAACCCUGAAGUCACUUCCUUUAGAGUUGAGUUCAAAGUUACAGCUUUAGUAGAUAAGCCAGAGUUAACUCAUGAUAACUCUUAGCCCUGACUUCUGAUGAAUGAGAAGUCUAGUUAGGUAGUCGAAACCCUAGGAAGUCAAGAAGUUCAAGUUAGAGGGCAUAUUUAUAUGAAAUAGCAUAUGAUGAGAUUGGUCAAUAUUUCUCAUUGCUUGACUAAAUAAUGCAUUUUAUGGCUCUAGCACUCCCGUCAUGACAUGUAGAAACAAAAAAAAAAGAAAAAACCUAGGCUGAUCAUCCAAACACCCAUUCAUUCAUAUCCUUAUCGG
rnacentral:lncRNA from 1 species